rnacentral:rRNA from 1 species
GGGACACGUGGUAUCCUGUCUGAAUAUGGGGGGACCAUCCUCCAAGGCUAAAUACUCCUGACUGACCGAUAGUGAACCAGUACCGUGAGGGAAAGGCGAAAAGAACCCCGGCGAGGGGAGUGAAAAAGAACCUGAAACCGUGUACGUACAAGCAGUGGGAGCACGCUUAGGCGUGUGACUGCGUACCUUUUGUAUAAUGGGUCAGCGACUUAUAUUCUGUAGCAAGGUUAACCGAAUAGGGGAGCCGAAGGGAAACCGAGUCUUAACUGGGCGUUAAGUUGCAGGGUAUAGACCCGAAACCCGGUGAUCUAGCCAUGGGCAGGUUGAAGGUUGGGUAACACUAACUGGAGGACCGAACCGACUAAUGUUGAAAAAUUAGCGGAUGACUUGUGGCUGGGGGUGAAAGGCCAAUCAAACCGGGAGAUAGCUGGUUCUCCCCGAAAGCUAUUUAGGUAGCGCCUCGUGAAUUCAUCUCCGGGGGUAGAGCACUGUUUCGGCAAGGGGGUCAUCCCGACUUACCAACCCGAUGCAAACUGCGAAUACCGGAGAAUGUUAUCACGGGAGACACACGGCGGGUGCUAACGUCCGUCGUGAAGAGGGAAACAACCCAGACCGCCAGCUAAGGUCCCAAAGUCAUGGUUAAGUGGGAAACGAUGUGGGAAGGCCCAGACAGCCAGGAUGUUGGCUUAGAAGCAGCCAUCAUUUAAAGAAAGCGUAAUAGCUCACUGGUCGAGUCGGCCUGCGCGGAAGAUGUAACGGGGCUAAACCAUGCACCGAAGCUGCGGCAGCGACGCUGAUGCGUUGUUGGGUAGGGGAGCGUUCUGUAAGCCUGUGAAGGUGUACUGUGAGGUAUGCU